CAAACAAAGCAGGUGCAUAUGGCUGGCAUGAGAGAGAAGCUGGGUCACGCUGGACUUCCAAAACUAAAGAUGUACACUGCCGGACAGAGAGCCAUGAGUUCCCACACACCCGAAUCCAGUGUGGCAUCCAUCUCCUGGCUGCAGCAGGAUGAAAGUCCAUCAAGGACAGGACAGAGGCAAGCCCGGCCACAGUCUGUUCCUUAGGGACCUCCCAGGAGGCACACUCAAAACCUAAGAGGAAGGAGAUAACAGGUGGCUGUGGUGGUCCAUCCCUAGAACCUCAGCUCUCAGGAUGCUGAGACUGUUACUCAAGGGACAAGAGAGUUGAUUCAAAGAGAAACUUCCUGCUUCCUUUUAAAGACCUAAUUCCUGCUGCACUAGUCUUUCCGAAAGCCAGCCACGCCCUCUUCCUCUGGCCUGGAGUUGCACUGGAGAGGUCUGGUGUGACAGAGCAGCGAGUCCUGCACUUGAGAACUGGAAAAAAAAAGUGUUAAUUUGUGCUUGCUAGUAGGUGGGGUCAGCUUUCUCUAAACACAGCACCUGUCCAUGCCUGCCAAGGCAUGUAAAAGUGUCUCUCUUCACCCUGCCCACCUCCCCCAAAGUGGCAGUGGUUCAGAGGCCAGACCCCUCCCCCCAAGGGGCAGCGUGCUAUGACUCUAUGACUACGGUGGAGCAGAAGGAAAUGUCAUCUCUCAGCUGACAUCCUGGCCUCACAGCUCGACAAGUGUGACAAAGGACCUCUGAGCACCUUUCCAGCCAAUCACAGGAGGUACAGGCCAGGCGCUCCUGCUGUUGGACCUAACGAGGAGGAAGGUAAUGGAGGUGGUUUGUGUCAUCACGACAGGAGUCCAGUGAAGGGCUUAAGAAGCAGACCUCAGGGCAUCCCCAGAACCUCCUAGUUAAAAUCCCCAGACCAUGCCUUUGUCUGGCCCGGCUGGCUCUGGUCUUGACCAAAUAUCUUUCCUAUGAUGUAUAAGGAAGGCUCUUGUUUCCAUCCUCAGAACUACCAAGGGGUUGGGGCUGGGGACACAGAGAGAGACAGAAACAGAGAGAAAGUUUCAGAAAGAGAUAGAGAGAUAGGGGGAAACAAAGACACACACACACAGAGAAACAGAGAGACAGAGGGGGAGACAGAUAGGGGGAGACAGAGAGAGACAUAGAAACAGAAAGAGACAGAGAGGGACUGAAAGAGAGAGGGAGGAGAUAGAAACAAAGAGACGAGAAGCUGAGAGACAGUGAUAGAAAGAGACAGCGACAAAGAGGUGGGGAGAGAGAGAGAGAGAGAGAGAGAGAGAGAGCACUAGCACUCAGGGAAAAAGAGGUAAACUAACUAAUCUCUAUGUAAAGCCCAGAAAGGCAUGUAUUGAGAGGGAUCUAUCUGGUGGUCCAUGUCUGUGAUCCCGACAUAGGCAAGCAUUAGUUAGUUUUCUGUUACUGAGAUAAAAUACCGUGACCAGGAGCAACGUAAGAAAGAAAAAGUUUACUACAUCGGCUAAUGGUUCCAGAAGGAUCUAGGCCAUCGUGACUGGGAGAUGCUUGGUAUGACGGCAGGAGCAGGGAGCUGGUAUAUCGCAUUUUCAUCCAAACACAGAAAGCAGAGACUAAACAGGAAGUGGGGCAGGGCUAUAAACUCCCAAAGCCCACCCCUGGUGAUGUGCUUCCUCAUAAAGGUUUCAUAACCUCCCCAGACAGCACCACCAUUAAGAGACCAAGUAUUCAAAUACAGGAGCCUAUUGGAGACAUUCCUAUUCAAACCACCACAUACACAUACCCAAAAUAAUGUACUUGACAGCCUGCCUUAUCACCUGGACAUACUGUGUAUAUACACACUGUCUUCAAACACUGGGUUUGAAGUAUACCCUGCAAUCUAGACUCCCCGUACCCACCACCUGCAUCAGAAUAUAAGUAUUCCUCACCAAUAGAGUAAGUAUCCUGGCCCCAGGUAACAACCAAAUCUAGGCAGUUUCAAGAGUUAUUACUUAAUCUGUCAAUCAAAAUAGAGAACCACCCAAACUACGGCCUUUGAUUUAGCCCCCUUAAGAGACCCAGGCUGUGGCCUUGACUACCCUCAUUCCUGUGGCCUGCAGUCAAUCUUUUUUGUUUGUUUUUGUUUUUUCAGUCAGGGUUCCUCUGUGUAGCCCUCGCUGUCCUGGAACUCACUCUGUAGACCAUGCUGGCCUCGAACUCAGAAAUCCACCUGCCUCGGCCUCCUGAGUGCUGGGAUCAAAGGUGUGCAUCAGUUCCACCCAGCAGCUUGCUUCUUUUGCAAAUCUGUGUGAGGAUUUCUAAUUCUUUGGACAAGAAACCAAGGGCCUGGAAGCAAUCAGCCUAUAGCCCAACCAGUGGUAAUCAUCGUAGCCAUCCUAGCACUUGGGGCAGAGGUAGGGGGACCAGGGCAAGUUUGGUAAAGGGCUACAGGUAAAGUCCCUGGUUUGAAUAACAGCAAUUAUCUUGUGCCCUCCAGUGUUUUGCUGUUUUUUGUUUGUUUGUUUUGCUAGUGUUUUACUUUCUUGAAGGUACCCACCCCUUAUUUAUUUAUUUUUGUUUUUUUGUUUGUUUGUUUGUUUUGUUUUUCGAGACAGGGUUUCUCUGUAUAGUCCUGGCUGUCCUGGAACUCACUCUGUAGAUCAGGCUGGCCUUGAACUCAGAAAUCCACCAGCCUCUGCCUCCCAAGUGCUGGGAUUAAAGGUGUGCGCCACCCCUGGCUUGUACCAGCCCCUUAUAAGUCCAGUUUCAUUCAUCCAUUAUCUUUGUGCUUAGAGAAUCUUUGCCUAACAAAUAGAAUCCUCCUCCGUGGUAUCUCAGGAAUUCAGAAUAUCUGAGAUUGCUGAGGUGUGUUCUAUUGCAGGCAAAACAUGCUCAGGAGAAAAAGGCUUUGCUGCAAUCAGACUGCAUUGUUCUGUGUUACUCAGUGUUGCGUGACACUGUGGCUUCCAGGCUGUGCCUCUCCAUGGCUUUUUUUUUUUUAAGCUUACCAUAACUCUUGUUUUUAAAGAUUUGUUUAUUUUUAUUGUAAAUGAAUGAACUUUUUGCCUGUGUGUAUGCCUGUGCAUCAUGUUCAUGGUCUCAGAAGCCAGAAGGCCUUGGAUCCUCUGGAAUUGGAAUUACAGGCUGCUGUGAACUGCUGUGUGGAUGUCAAGAAAUGAACCAGGGCCUCUGGGAGAACAAACAAUGAUUUCUGCCCCCCACCCCCAAGCUGGGGUUUCUCUGUGUAGCCCUGGCUGUCCUGGAACUCACGCUGUAGACCAGGCUGGCUUCAAACUCAGAGAUGUGCCUGCCUCUGCCUCCCAAGUCCUGGGAUUAAAAGUGUGUGUCAUCAGCACCAAGCUGUUUGGCUUUUAAAAUGUUUAUUUACACGUGUGUGUGUGUGUGUGUGUGUUGUAUGAUGUGUGAUGUGCACAGUGAGUCAGCAGUUUCACCCUAGCAGCCUCCAGACAACGUGAGGAAGGAGCAGGCCAACACAGGCAGAAUGAAGAUGUCACUUCCAGAUGUCACUUCCAGAAUGAAGACGUCACUUCCGGAGCCCUGGCCCUCUGCAAAUCUUGCACAUACGUGCUUUCUUCUUUCUAAUGCAGAGUUCUGGUUCCUGGACUUUUAAAGCCAGAAGCCAUCUGAGCCUAGCUUUGGGAAUCAAGAUUGAUGGUGUAAUAAAAUUAAUAGACCAUCAAACUUUCUCGCCUGAAUUACAGUCCCAUUAUCACAGGAGAGACAAACAACACACUUCAUUAAACUGAAGGGUGACCAGAGACUCUGGAGAGAAGCACAGACGUGAUGGGGAGAUUGUGGCCUCUUCAGACCUGGAGUCUCCUAGACUGUGUGAUGAGUGAGCUCUGGGCGGUGCCUUUUGAGAAGGGAAGUGACCUGCCUAAGGUGCUGGGUGCCUUUGAAAAGGAGAGACCUAAGGAAUACAGCUGCCUCCUUCUCAGAGUCUGCUGUCACCCACCCACCCCCAGCCCAGGGGAGGAACGCAGUAUACGUGAGCACCUGAGCACCUCAUCCUCACACGUGCUGCUUGCUGUGACUUCUUGGUGUCAACGUUUACUCCCAGUCAAAAUUGCUGAGGGUCACACCAGGGCUCACUGACGGCAGACCUACCUGUCCAUCCCAGUUCCUGGUUUGAAAUCAAGGGCCCAAAUUGUGAAUUCAUCAGGCGAUACCCUCAAGGAUAAACGGCUCACAGACCACCACAAAGCCUAACAGUGAGGCUCAACCUCAGGGACAAAGACCCUAUAGGAUAUCAUCUGCAAAGAAACACGCGUGUGCGCGCAAAAGAGAGAGCGAGGGGGAGAGAGAGAGAGAGAGAGAGAGAGGUUUGGCACACAAAACCAGCCAGUAUACAGCCAGUAUAUAUAUGUACACACACACACACACACACACACACACACACACGUAUACUCCAGCCAGCUUUCCUGAUCCAUAUGUACAUCAACUGCACUUCCUAGGGAUAUUCCUGAGAGCUCCUGAGUUCCACUUAGGCUGAUACAGGACCCUGUGUUGGCUCAGCCUGGGUCCCAUGCCCAGACUCUUCUCUUCUGGAAAGGAAAGUCUAAAAAAAAAGUUGAAUAUUUUUAGUUGUCUUAAAAUAGUUUGUACUUCCAAUAA